rnacentral:lncRNA from 1 species
CACCUGGUUCACUGCAAAACCCCACAACUGGCCUCUGGGUCUGCAGCCUGCACUCUUCACCACUGCAAUCAGAGAAAGAUUUCUAAAUUCCAUUCUAGCAAUGUUAUUUGUCUUUUCUCCAACCCACUCUACUAAGAGUUGCCUACAAGGCCCUCCUCCACAAUCCAGGUUGCAGACUGCAAGGCCAGCUGCAUCUCCCUCCCAGUUCCUUGCGAGAGAGAUGAAUGAGUCAUGAGGCCUGGACUCAACAGGGGAGAUGGACAUGGUAACGAUAGAUGUGGAGGGUAGAAGGAAUCCCUGGGUGAGGUAAGAACUCAUAGAAUAGAUCAAAGAAGGCUUCCUGGAGGAGGUGAUACUUGAAUUGGUUGCUGCCAGCUACGCUAGCAGUAAGCCGGGUGAAUGAGGUGGGAAGAGCAUUCAGGCAGAAGGAAUAACAUGUACAAGGGCAUGGCGACAGGGGACAGUCAAGGCAUGUUUGAGGAACUGGGUCUGGAUGCAAGGAACUGGGAGGGAGAUGCAGCUGGCCUUGCAGUCUGCAACCUGGAUUGUGGAGGAGGGCCUUGUAGGCAACUCUUAGUAGAGUGGGUUGGAGAAAAGACAAAUAACAUUGCUAGAAUGGAAUUUAGAAAUCUUUCUCUGAUUGCAGUGGUGAAGAGUGCAGGCUGCAGACCCAGAGGCCAGUUGUGGGGUUUUGCAGUGAACCAGGUGAGAAAUGAUGGAAACUGGACUCUCAGUGGCAGGAGGAUGGGAAGCAGGAGAGAUGAGCAAAAUAUGGAGAGAAUCAGUACUGAGAAAAUAAGUAUGAUGACAGGAUGUGGACAUGGGUGGGGAGGGCGAGCCUGGGAUGAGGCUGCAGAGGUUGGGAGCCACAGGAGAAGAGAGGAUUCUGGAGGAAGAAGAGGAGCGCCGGCUUUGGACAUAGUGUAUCUGGGCUGCCCUGGCUCUCUCAAUUGUCCUCUCUUUGCUGUUGACUGCCAGAUUAACACCUUCAGUUCUGACCAUGAUCCUGGGCUCCAAACCAGAGUUUCCAGGGGCCCAUAGAGUAUUUCCACCUUCUAGCCAUCUGGCAUCUCCAGCUUUGCACUGUUCCCCAAACCUGUUCCUUGGCCACCCCUCUCUGUUAAUGACCUCACCGCCAACCCCGGGAGUCUCCGUCACCCGCCUCUUCC